rnacentral:rRNA from 1 species
GGAAUUUUGCGCAAUGGGCGGAAGCCUGACGCAGCAACGCCGCGUGGAGGAAGAAGGCCCUCGGGUCGUAAACUCCUGUCCAUGGGGAAGAGGAUGACGGUACCCUUGGAGGAAGCCCCGGCUAACUCCGUGCCAGCAGCCGCGGUAAUACGGAGGGGGUUAGCGUUGUUCGGAAUUACUGGGCGUAAAGCGCACGUAGGCGGAUCAGAAAGUUGGGGGUGAAAUCCCGGGGCUCAACCCCGGAACGGCCUCCAAAACUCCUGGUCUUGAGUUCGAGAGAGGUGAGUGGAAUUCCGGGUGUAGAGGUGAAAUUCGUAGAUAUUCGGAGGAACACCAGUGGCGAAGGCGGCUCACUCGCUCGAUACUGACGCUGAGGUGCGAAAGUGUGGGGAGCAAAC